AGUCGAGCGAACAGAUGAGAAGCUUGCUUCUCUGAUGUUAGCGGCGGACGGGUGAGUAACACGUGGGUAACCUACCUAUAAGACUGGGAUAACUCCGGGAAACCGGGGCUAAUACCGGAUAAUAUUUUGAACCGCAUGGUUCGAUAGUGAAAGACGGUUUCGGCUGUCACUUAUAGAUGGACCCGCGCCGUAUUAGCUAGUUGGUAAGGUAACGGCUUACCAAGGCGACGAUACGUAGCCGACCUGAGAGGGUGAUCGGCCACACUGGAACUGAGACACGGUCCAGACUCCUACGGGAGGCAGCAGUAGGGAAUCUUCCGCAAUGGGCGAAAGCCUGACGGAGCAACGCCGCGUGAGUGAUGAAGGUCUUCGGAUCGUAAAACUCUGUUGUUAGGGAAGAACAAAUUUGUUAGUAACUGAACAAGUCUUGACGGUACCUAACCAGAAAGCCACGGCUAACUACGUGCCAGCAGCCGCGGUAAUACGUAGGUGGCAAGCGUUAUCCGGAAUUAUUGGGCGUAAAGCGCGCGUAGGCGGUUUCUUAAGUCUGAUGUGAAAGCCCACGGCUCAACCGUGGAGGGUCAUUGGAAACUGGGAAACUUGAGUGCAGAAGAGGAGAGUGG
rnacentral:rRNA from 2 species